UCACCAUGCUAGCAAUAUAACUAUCAUUGGGAAGAGAGAUGUAGAUCAAAACACAGUGGAAACCUGUUCUCACAUUCAGAAUGUGUCUGAAGCAAGAUGCCAUGCAUAUCUGUUAUGGGCAAGGCAAAUCUUGGAAAGCUGCGUAUUGGUUCAACUCAAACCAGUGAACAACUCUUUUCCCUUUCCCAGGCCAGAUGGACUGGGAGCAGAGGAAGCAGAGAAAGUCUACCUCCUGCCAACAUUACAUCUUUCCUCUUGUUAUCACUUUACAAGUGUUUGCAAGUUGUUAUUCUAAGUCCCACAGAACUCAUAAAAGCAAAGGUUACAGAUGCACCAGGAACACUCUACGUGAGCAGACUUCAAGACCCUACUCUGUGCUUUUANUACUGAAAUGCUCUGAUAGGAACUUUGGACUGUCUAUGAAUGCUGAAAUGAAUAUCUCUUCCACAAUCAAGAAAGAAUAAAGGGGUGUUUCUGACAUUUUUGAUACA
ensembl:lncRNA